rnacentral:rRNA from 1 species
UACAGAGGGGGCAAGCGUUGUUCGGAAUUACUGGGCGUAAAGAGCUCGUAGGCGGCUUGUCGCGUCGGCUGUGAAAACCUGGGGCUCAACCCCGGACUUGCAGUGGGUACGGGCAGACUAGAGUGUGGUAGGGGAGACUGGAAUUCCUGGUGUAGCGGUGGAAUGCGCAGAUAUCAGGAGAACACCGAUGGCGAAGGCAGGUCUCUGGGCCACUACUGACGCUGAGAAGCGAAGCAUGGGGAGCGAACAGG